CGUAGCUUAAUGGAUAGAGCGAUGGCCUCCGGAGCCAUUAGUGUGAGUUCAAUUCUCAUCGGGUG
rnacentral:tRNA from 1 species